AGAAAGAGACAAGACAUCCUGCCCUGGGCAGAGGGAGCAGGGAAAGGCAUGUGUGGGCUCCUGAGAGAGAGCAGCCAUACCCACCUGCUUUUUUAGGUGCAUCAAGACAUCAAAACAGAGAGGCAAAACAGUCUUUAGAAUAAGAAGAAAGGAGAAAAGGAGUAAGGGAAAGUACAAGAGCAGGAAACACUUUCAGAUAAUGCUGAAUCGUAGUGGACAUUAAGGGGAAUUGAGGGGGAAAGGCCAGCAGUGAACAAUAAAGGAGUCCACAUGAAAAUAACGAAAGGCAAGAAAGACUUGCAAAGAAAUUCAGGGAAAGUGAUCAAGUUGGAGGUGGGAGGGGAAUGGAGACUAAGCAAUUAUAAACUCAAAGUGGAAAUUUCCAUGGGAAGAUUUGACUGAAGCAUCUGAGAGGGGCUAUGGAUAGAGAGACACUGCCUAGCAUGAGCUGGCAGAAACUAGAGAAAAGGCAGCCAAUACUGCCAAGUUAGAGUCUGAUGGUCUUGCAAUGCUGAACUGCUCUUUGGAGAAGUUGGGGGUGUGGCAGGGCAGGGAAGGCAGGACAGGGAGGCAGUGAGACAGGUGGUUUAAGAUUGAAGGUUCUAGGAGGAAAGGACCAGUCACCUAUACUUCUGCACCCCAACCUGGGCGGGAGAUGUCAGAGGAAGGAGGAGGGAGGAGGAGAGAAAAGGGAGGAGAGAAGAGGGAGGUGCGAGGAGGGGCUCUUCAAGGCAAGCCCCAGCUGGCUGGAGAAAGGACCAGGGCUAGGAUGGAAGUCCCCCAGAGCUGCUCGCCUAGGGUAGCUCAGACCUCAGGCAAGACUCCAGGGGCUUGUCCUGGUCUCGGUGCAGUUUUACAUCAAGGUUCCUCAUGGUAAAGAAAAAAAAAAAA